rnacentral:rRNA from 1 species
GAUGAACGCUGGCGGCGUGCCUAAUACAUGCAAGUAGAACGCUGACGCGAGGAGCUUCUUCUUCUUGGAUGAGUUGCGAACGUGUGAGUAACGCGUAGGUAACCUGCUUUGUAGCGGGGGAUAACUAUUGGAAACGCUAGCUAAUACCGCAUAACAUUGGAUGACACAUGUUAUUUAUUUGAAAGGGGCAUUUGCUCCACUACAAGAUGGACCUGCGUUGUAUUAGUUAGUUGGUGAGGUAAUGGCUCACCUAGGCGACGAUUCAUAGCCGACCUGAGCGGGGGAUCGGAGACGCUGGGAGAGGGGGAAGGGCCAGACUCCUACGGGGGGCAGCAGUAGGGAACUAUGGGCAAUGGGGGCAACGCAGACCGAGCAACGCCGGAUGAGUGAAGAAGGUUAUCGGGUCGGAAAGCACAGUUGUUAGUGAAUGAAAAGAUUGAGAGUGAAAAGUGCACAAUGUGACGGUAGCUGAAGAGAAAGGGACGGCUAACUACGUG